UCUCUGCUUACCCAGGUGAUCUUCUUCACUAACUUGUUCCACAUCUGGAAGAGUCCUGGCCCUGAUGAAUGGCCCGCUGUGAGCAUUUACUACCCAUGACAUGCAGGGGAUUCUCUACCAACAUUUCUGGGUACAGCACAGUCCAUGUCGGAGGGACAGGAGACAUUGUCCCAGCAGCUUUGCUAUUUACCCAGAAAUCCCAUCCUCCACAGCGGCUUCCUGUUCCCUUGAAGUGAGACAUCCUUUCCUGGGGGAUCAACUGGAUGAACCAGACACAGAGAUGCGGAUGCUGCUUUAGCCUGGCCAUGCCCAGUUACAAUAACACCUUCAUGCUGUUGUCCCAGCAGCCCGCCCUGAUACACCAGCCCCAUCUCAGCCAGGAGCACCAGGCAGGAGGCCUGCUGCGCCCUCGAUCUGGCCUGGGCGGAUGAGACAAAGAGUGCUUGCUGUAGGGUGGGUAGGUGGGAUGGAGGGGGUUAGAUGGGGGAGUCCCUCGCUUCCCUCCCAUACACUAUGAAACCUCCCAGCCUCUGAUGCAAAUGAGGUGGUGGGGGCAAAGAGAGAAAAACAACAUGAAGGGAAAACGGACACAAAAGGAGGGAUGGGAGGGGAGAAGGCCUCCUAAAGCAGCACAGCACUGUGGGCCUUUUCAAAUCACAGCAGCAGUGAGUGUCAAUCAAGCGGUCAACGUUAACAAUGUUAGGCCAGAACAAGCAGGGCUAAUGUCCUCUUUGCUCUGCCCAACCCCCACCACCAGCACCUCCCCAACUCCCCACCUUCCACAAACCCCUUGUGACCACAUGAAUCUGACUAGUGACAGCUCGCCAUCCUGUAAUUUGCCAAUUUGCACGCGUGUCAAAAAGCCAGACCAUAGUGAAUUAUAGCCACAAAGUGGGGAUAGGCCGAAAGAAGUGCAAGAGAUCUGCGACACAGGGGAGGAUAAUGGAGAUGACGGGGGAAACAGCAGGAUGAAAUAGAUUUGAGUGAAGGCUGCUUUCAUAGUGUGUGUGCCUCCUUCAUAGUGAACAUUUGACUCUUGAUUUUUGCAUAACACAGCCUGGUGGGCCUUGUUCACAUGCCUUGUGUAUUUGAAUGUGUACGAGAUUGCGUGGGGACGAUUGUGAUGUAUGCAUUUGUUUAUGUGUGUGUAUGAGUGAGCAAGACUGUCUUCUCUGACAAGACCAUGUGUGCCAUUUGUCUUAUGAGCACCGGUGUGAGAAGUUGAACGAGUCUAUCUGCAACUGCUGCGCAGAAAAGUGGGGGAUAAGGGUGAUUAUCCAUGGCUGAGCCAUUAAUCUUGAGCAUUAUCAACACCUUGCUGGUGCAAUCUGUGUUUCAAUCCAACAGUCCAUUAAUACUUCUCCACCAGUGUUUAGCUGUGGUUUACAGUGAAGACCAUACAGGGCUAUAGCAACUAAAACACUACUCACAUAAAAGAUAUCCCUAACACAGUCAACUGCUUACAGAUAACCAAGACAUAUAAGGGAACAGAGCCAAAGACCUCAUAUUUUUCCCAGUGGAAAAGGAAAUAUACCUUUAAUGUUCACAUGUGCAUGUCCAAAUACAUCCCCGCACACAUUCACGCUCUAACACAAGAAAGAACCAUGAAGCCUUUAUAAAUCUCUAUCAGGAAGCCAGCCAACCUCUCUGCCCAUUGCUGGUGAAAACCAUAUAAUAGUCUAAGGAACCAGAAACACAUUUUCUGGAUAGUUGGCAGCAAAUGUCCCAUAAUGGUUUGGGCUGGGUAACUUUCUAAAUGUUAUUUUUAUUGUUGGGUCUUAAAGGUAGAAGGGGAAAAAAUGGCUGACAAAUGCACAUACACCCUGAAAAGCCUUCAAUUGUGUUCUCUGUUAUGUAUGUAAAACAGAACAGAUGAGAGCAGUUGUGGUGCCACGAAACCCCAGCCCACACAAACAUAUGCUGACAACCAAAAUAAACAAAACUGUUUUGUACUUAUACCCAAAAAUAACAAGUCAGCAUCGUCACAUUCACAUGAAGUCAUGUCUUACAAAGCCCCCAAAAUUACAAGUUAUCAUUGCAACAUGUUAUUUGGCAAUGCAGUGGCUGAGUCUGCCCUUUACACUUGUUUAACAAUAUUUUACGUCUCCAAAACAAUCCCGAUCACUGAUUAACAUCUGACAAAGGGGUACUCUCAACUGCAGGAGAUCCUCAAACCAUCCGUGAAAGUGAAAAUGAGAAGCAAUUCUGUUAAACACUCCACAUUAUGAUGGCUAUUUACCACACCAUUGUAACUCUAAAGGGUGGACCUUUAAAUGUCUUACAAAGUAAUCUUGCCUCGGGUACAGUUCACUGAAUUCUCUACUGCUGGCCCUACAAUCUGUCUUGCGUUACUUGCCUUCCCAAGUGUGUGUUAGAGGGCUGAGAGGAGGACAAAGCUGACAUUGCGCGUGGCUUUUCAAAGUAGUGUCAUUUACUCAUGGGUUAGGACGUCACAUGACCACUGAGCAUGAUGGUUCAGAGUGUUUGUGCUGAGUGUAGUUAAAGCGGGCCUGUGUCUUUGGGGGCUUGAGCCCUGUGUUGUGCACAGCCCUUAAUAUUUUAAUAGUGUACAGUAUGUGCAGGCCAGAACUGUGUGUUGGCUUAAGAAGACAGAAGGUGAAGGAUGACUGUAAAAUUACUGAUCGGUGUCACAGGUAGCAGUAAGCGAGGCUUUGAGUGGUCAGCACCAGGUCAGCACGAAGUCACUCAAGUGUUGCAGGAGGAUCUCCACUUGACAGAGAUGCAGUAACACUACUGACAUUUUCAUCCUGAGAAGGUAGGUUUAGUUUAUUAGUUCUUUUAAUUUUCAAAUAAGGAGAAAUAAAAAAUAAUAAAGAAAUAAGAAAUAAGUAAAUUACCAGUGGAAUCUUUAGCUACGAUAAUAUUCCCUGGUGGCAAGGGUAAGUCAUCGUAGAACUGUUUGAUAGCACUGUGCAGUUUAAUCGAUGAGGUUUGAGACUUCAGAGGCCUGACCAAAUGCUGAUGGUUUUUUAUUUAUUUAUAACCUGUGUGCACCUCUCAAGGAUGCUAAUGUACCCCAUAAUAUUAGAACAGGUACCCAAAAAUAUUAUUAAUACUUUAAAUUCCUCAUAAACAUAAGAUUGUCGCUCAGAUUGUCAUACUGUACUCCAUAAUAACAAAUUAGGUACCUGUAAACUUACUUAGUCCACUUAUUCCCUUGUAACUACAUGUAUGUGUCAGUACAUACUGUCCUGGUACACUGUUAGUACUUAAAUGGCACUGUACAUUGUUAAGAGUUAUGCUGUGUGUUGCAAGCAUUACCUUAUUGUUUUAAAUUCUCCAAUAUUGUUGUAAUUAUUUCAAACAAAAGUCAGGUAUGGAGAAGUAAUAGACUAAUAAUGAGCUACUGUGACAGACAGAGAAAGCCUGCACAAACAUAGUUAUGAGAAAGUUUCACGUUGAAGUGCAUAGAAAGUCUACAUUUAACUGUUGAAAUAAAAGAAAAAAACACAAACAGGGAGCUAGUUAUCCUCAUAUCACGCACACUUUGACACACAUAAAACAGCAUUACCAACCGUAGCUCUGCCCCUCAUAUAUUUUUUACUCUUACUGCAUGUCCUAACAAUAAAUAUCUCCCUUCACCCACAAUGUCAGGCUGCAGGUUGGUUUCCUUCGGUGUAAUUGAUGUGAAGGUUCUGCUGAAACCAACCCUGCACGCAUUUCGAAGAGGUGAGCAGGAAAUCGGGCCAUCAGAGGCGGAACGCAUUCCUAUCACGCAGCUCAGGUCAGAACCUCUGGUAGAGUCAGGAUUUGUAGCUUAAAGGCUGUCAGAAAUGAUCACUUUGCUCUGCAACUGCACCCACACCCUGACACAGCCCCUUCUUUUGUUAAGUUAAAGGAUGUACCCCAACAGAUUUGGUGACCUGCUGUCUCCCUCGCUCGGCCAGUUCUGGUCUAGGCUAAACACAGUUCAGCUUGUGGAGGCAGUGCAUUGCUGUUGUACAGGGGGAAAGAAAGGCAGAGUUACUGGAUAUUUCCCAGGGAACCAGGGUGGAGAAUCAGUUUCCAUUUCACCGUGACCUUUCUCUGGUCCCAAUGGUGGUCAGCUCCACCACUACCUCCUUCCUCUCACAUCCCCACUGAGCAGCCUCCGCUCCACUGCUGUCUCUCUUUUUUUCGUUUGUCAACCUAUCCAUCUCACAUUUUUUGCUCAGAUAGGACAGAACAGCACCCCCCUAGACCCCCACCAACAAAGAGAUCAAAUUCCCAUAGCUCAUCUGUCUUCUCAUCAGCUGUUUACACCGAUUUAAAUGUUAGCAUUGCACACAGUGCAAAUGCGUAACUAAUAUGCAACUGAUGAAUACUAGGAAAAUUACAUCUAAACAACUCCAUAUCAAAUUAAGGACCACCAACUACAUCUAAAUAAAGCUGUAAUUGCAGUGAAUUUUUCCCCUCAGGAUGGGAGUCAUCCAUUUCCAACACCCAAGCUAUUCUUAGUGUCUGUUAGUAUUGUUUUCAGCCACCAAAUGAUACUUUCAUAUUAAAACGUGUGUGAUGACUUUCUCUUAUGCCAACAAUGCUGGGAAGCUGUUUGUCACCCGGCUGACCGCACAAAGUCUGACACACUCUGGACACACCCUUACUCUUACCACUCCUACAGUAACCAUUUAUAUUUACCUUUUCCACUUAUAUUUUAGGUACACACAGCAGUUUGCAGUCAUAUCCUGUGAGAGGCAGAUAUUAAAUGUAUGCAAGUGUCAAAACCACCCUGGCAAUAAGUAACACAUAACUAUAAUCUAAAACUUUCUUAAAAUGGUUCUCCUAACACUUUUGCAUCUCACUAAAGACAUUUUCCUGUCAUAGGAAGGGAUGCACAAAAACAAAAGCAAUCCAAUUAGGCUCAGUGGAAAUCCCUGAUUAAAAUCUGGCAAGAGGAAACAUAAAAAAAAUACACAAUAAAACUGAGAAAAUGAGUCAGAGUGCUUGAACAGUCAGGUGUGGGAUAGCAAUGCCAGCUCAGUCCCAACCUUCAGGGUAUCACCAGAAUGUUACCCUGUUCAUGACAUUCAUGACAGUGAUAUCAGUAGAGUUGUGGAGUGACCAGUCACAGACAUAAUCCAUAAUUAAGCACUUUUCUUUUCAAAACAUUGUCACAAAUAAAAAACAUAUUCCUUAAAGUUUGAGCAGGUUAAAAGAAAAGCAAAGUUUCAACAAACAAUAACCCCUUUUCAGUCAACCUGGAUGAGAAGUCCCAAAGAAUCAUGGAAAGUUUGAAUGUCCAACAUGGAAACUGACUGACUGAAUCAAUCAGCUGAGGAGGACUGUGUGAUCUGGUUCAAAAGCUCUAGAGCAUCUUCCAAAAUGGACCUACGGGUGAGGUUGUUUUCUCAAUUUCCAAGGUCAAGAAUGAAUUUUGAACUUAAGCAAAAUACAACUUGGCAAGUUCAACUGUUAAAUCAAACGACAUUUCUGUCCAUUUCUAUUUUGUGAUUUUGCUGAUUUCUCAUUUUUCAAAUAUGUUGACGUGAUGGACACAGGGGGAUAUAUGUACUAAAAUAAAUGCUGUUUGUGUGUCAUCUGAGACACAUUCUGCUUUCUGUCAGUGUAUUGCACCUCACCUCUUUCUGCUUAUGAAUGUAAGGAAAGAUCACACAAAUGGGAGGUGGGGGGGGCAUAACGAGUGUGGUUAAUUGCAAAUUCCACUGGAUUUACUAAGGUCUGCUCAAUUUGUAAGGUCACUUUUGCGUGAAGCAGGUGCAAAUUUAAACAUCUAUAUUAAAGGACUGCUGUGGCCCGUCCUAUUGAAAUCUCAGUGACAGCAGACAAAGACUAGGUGUAUCAUGAAAUGUGUGUGCACACUCGAUCAGUUUAGGAAAAUAAAUAGUAGUUUAAAUAAAUUUAAAAGACAGAGAGCAGAACCCACAAAUACAUCAAACAUAAAGGAGGUGACGAUUUGUAACUGCAUAUGUGGUCAUUAAACUUUCUUGUUCACUGA